rnacentral:rRNA from 1 species
GCGCAGCAGGCGAGAAACUUCACACUGUGCGAAGCACGAUGAGGGAAUCCCAAGUGCUUGCACGUAAGUGUAAGCUGUUUCUCUGUUUAAAACGCAGAGAGAGUAAGGGCUGGGUAAGACGGGUGCCAGCCGCCGCGGUAAUACCUGCAGCUCAAGUGGUGACCGUUAUUAUUGGGCCUAAAACGUCCGUAGCCGGUUUAAUAAAUGCCUGGGUAAAUCGUGUAGCUUAACUAUACGAAUUCCGGGUAGACUGUUAAACUCGAGACCGGGAGAAGUUAGAGGUACUCCUGGGGUAGAGGUGAAAUUCUGUAAUCCUAGGGGACCACCAGUGGCGAAGGCGUCUAACUAGAACGGGUCUGACGGUGAGGGACGAAGCCCUGGGGCGCAAACGGGAUUAGAUACCCCCGUAGU